rnacentral:rRNA from 1 species
UAAGGGCGCACGGUGGAUGCCUUGGCACUAGAAGCCGAUGAAGGACGUUACUAACGACGAUAUGCUUUGGGGAGCUGUAAGUAAGCUUUGAUCCAGAGAUUUCCGAAUGGGGAAACCCAGCAUGAGUUAUGUCAUGUUAUCGAUAUGUGAAUACAUAGCAUAUCAGAAGGCACACCCGGAGAACUGAAACAUCUUAGUACCCGGAGGAAGAGAAAGAA